AUGCUUUACACAUGCAAGUCGAACGGCAGCACGGGUGCUUGCACCUGGUGGCGAGUGGCGAACGGGUGAGUAAUGCGUCGGAACGUACCGAGUAAUGGGGGAUAACGCAGCGAAAGUUGUGCUAAUACCGCAUACGCCCUGAGGGGGAAAGUGGGGGACCGCAAGGCCUCACGUUAUUCGAGCGGCCGACGUCUGAUAGCUAGUUGGUGGGGUAAAGGCCUACCAAGGCGACGAUCAAUAGCGGGUCUGAGAGGAUGAUCCGCCACACUGGGACUGAGACACGGCCCAGACUCCUACGGGAGGCAGCAGUGGGGAAUUUUGGACAAUGGGGGCAACCCUGAUCCAGCCAUUCCGCGUGAGUGAAGAAGGCCUUCGGGUUGUAAAGCUCUUUCAGUCGGAACGAAACGGUGCGCUCUAACAUAGCGUGCUAAUGACGGUACUGACAGAAGAAGCACCGGCUAACUACGUGCCAGCAGCCGCGGUAAUACGUAGGGUGCGAGCGUUAAUCGGAAUUACUGGGCGUAAAGCGUGCGCAGGCGGAUUGUUAAGCAAGACGUGAAAUCCCCGGGCUUAACCUGGGAAUGGCGUUUUGAACUGGCAGUCUAGAGUGCGUCAGAGGGGGGUGGAAUUCCACGUGUAGCAGUGAAAUGCGUAGAGAUGUGGAGGAACACCGAUGGCGAAGGCAGCCCCCUGGGAUGACACUGACGCUCAUGUACGGAAGCGUGGGUGGCAAACAGGAUUAGAUACCCUGGUAGUCCACGCCCUAAACGAUGUCAACUGGUUGUUGAGGGAGUGAAAUCCCUUAGUAACGAAAGCUAACGCGUGAAGUUGACCGCCUGGGGAGUACGGUCGCAAGAUUAAAAACUCAAAAGGAAUUGACAGGGACCCGCACAAGCGGUGGAUGAAGGGGGAUUAAUUCGAUGCAACGCGAAAAAACCUUACCUACCCUUGACAUGUCCGGAAUCCUGCAGAGAUGCCGGGAGUGCCCGAAAGGGAGUCGGAACACAGGUGUGCAUGGCUGUCGUCAGCUCGUGUCGUGAGAUGUUGGGUUAAGUCCCGCAACGAGCGCAACCCUUAUCAUUAGUUGCUACGCAAGGGCACUCUAAUGAGACUGCCGGUGACAAACCGGAGGAAGGUGGGGAUGACGUCAAGUCCUCAUGGCCCUUAUGGGUAGGGCUUCACACGUCAUACAAUGGUCGGUACAGAGGGUUGCCAAGCCGCGAGGUGGAGCCAAUCCCAGAAAGCCGAUCGUAGUCCGGAUUGUUCUCUGCAACUCGAGAGCAUGUAGUCGGAAUCGCUAGUAAUCGCGGAUCAGCAUGUCGCGGUGAAUACGUUCCCGGGUCUUGUACACACCGCCCGUCACACCAUGGGAGUGGAAUCUGCCAGAAGUAGGUAGCCUAACCGCGAGGAGGGCGCUUACCACGGUGGGUUUCAUGACUGGGGUGAAGUCGUAACAAGGUA
rnacentral:rRNA from 1 species